rnacentral:rRNA from 1 species
GAUGAACGCUGGCGGCGUGCCUAAUACAUGCAAGUCGAGCGAACAGACGAGGAGCUUGCGCCUCUGACGUUAGCGGAGGACGGGAGAGUAACACGUGGAUAACCUACCUAUAAGACGGGGAUCACUUCGGGAAACCGGCGCUAAUCCCGGAUAAUAUACUGAACCGCGUGGGGCAAUGGUAAAUGACGGUUUUGCUGUCUGUUCUCGCUGGUUCCGGGCCGCAUUAGCUAGUUGGUAAGGUCACGGCCUACCACGGCAACGAUGCGUAACCGACGGAAGUGGGUGGUCGGCGACCCGGGAGGUGAGACAGGGUCCAGACUACUACGGGAGGCAGCAGUCUGCAAUCGGACGCAAUGGGCGAAAGCCUGACGGAACAGCGCCGCGUGAGAGAUGACGGUCUCCGGAGCGGAAAGCUCUGUUAUGAGUGAUGAACAGCUGUGUACGUAGCUGUGCACGGCUUGACGGUACCGAAUCAGAAAGCCCCGGCUAACUACGUG